rnacentral:misc_RNA from 1 species
GCAAACUUGGUCAUUUAGAGGAAGUAAAAGUCGUAACAAGGUUUCCGUAGGUGAACCUGCGGAAGGAUCAUUAAUGAAACUUCAGUCGGCUUGUUAUCUGUGCUGGUGGCGACACAUGUGCACGUUAACAGGUCGCAUAUCCACACACCUGUGCAUCCUAUGACUCCGAGUCGCCCUUUGUGUGCCUAUAUGGGCUGGCAACUCGAGAGUACUUUACACACUCUUGAAUGUAUUGGAAUGUCUAUUGUGCAUAAUGUGCAAUCUGAAACAACUUUCAACAACGGAUCUCUUGGCUCUCGCAUCGAUGAAGAACGCAGC